UGGAGAAAUGGCUGAGUGGUCAAAAGCGGUGGAUUGCUAAUCCAUUAUAUAAAAUUUUUUAUAUCAAGGGUUCGAAUCCCUUUUUCUCCGA
rnacentral:tRNA from 1 species